GCGGAUGGCUGGAUAGCCGCGCCCCUUCGGGGGUGAGGAACGUCCGGGCAGCAUGGAGAGACGGCGCCGGGCAACACCCGGCCGGGGCAACCCGAGGGAAAGCGCCACAGAGAAGAGACCGCCCAUGUUCCCGGCUCGCCGGAGGCGUGCGGCAAGGGUGAAACGGUGGGGUAAGAGCCCACCGCGCCCCCGGUGACGGGGGCGGCAUGGCAAGCCCCGCCGGCUGCAAGAUCGAAUAGGGUCGGCUGCGCCGCCGCAAGGCGGGGCAGGGGGUCUCCGCCCCGCCGACCGGGUUGAUCGCAUGAGGCGCGCGGCGACGCGCGUCCCAGAUGAAUGGCUAUCUAUCGCGCGAAAGCGCGGGGACAGAACCCGGCGUAAAGGCCAUCCGCGCCU
rnacentral:RNase_P_RNA from 1 species